GAGUUAAAGUUACUCUGCCGCCCGAGGUGGUAGGUGGGCGGUUGGGGUGAAAGGAAGAAGUACCAAGACGGGGCUGAAGCAAGGGAGCGCGAGCCGGUCAACCAGCCAGCGGGUCGCCGCCGCCGCCGCCCGGGCGUCCCCUCAGCAACGAUGUGUUGGCUACAACUCCCAUGCUGCCUGCGAACGUAGCUGAAGACCUCUUUAAUGAGCAUCAGGAGAAGAAUACUUGUCUCCUCUCUUGCUAAGGCUGCCCAACCUUGUGGCUUUCCAAACUACCUUUCACCAUUUAGUAGAGGACCCACUGCUCUUUCUGGGGUUGAGCCUGGAGAACACACGGACAACCCUUUCAGCAGAGGGUUGUAUUCAACAGCUUCCCUUUCUCCAGUGUUGGGAAUAUUUACACCAAUCCAUGCUGCAGCUCCUCACUCUUUCUGGCCGACUGCUCGUGCCGCUGGCUUGGACCUAACCUAGGAUAAAUCUGGGCCCAGCCGGGGUUGGGGGGAGCCAUGGGCAGCUCAGCAUCAUCGCUGGCCGCCGAGACGGAGUCGGACCAUGGUUUCACUGGCCCAGCCUACCCAGGGCACCUGGCUGCAAGUUGGUAUAGAAGUAGCCACAAUGGCCCAGUUUGGGAAAGUGCUCUUAUAACACGGCAGCAUCAGCACAUGACUCACCGGGCACGCAGCCACACCCAUUCUUCUGGUUCUAUGGCUGCCGUGCGAGAAUGGUCCUGCACCCGUUGCACGUUCCUGAACCCUGUGGGCCAGCGGCAGUGCUCCAUCUGCGAGGCCCCCCGCCAGAAACCUGACCUCAACCACAUCCUGCGCCUCAGCGUGGAGGAGCAGAAGUGGGCCUGCGCCCGCUGCACCUUCCGGAAUUUCCUGGGCAAAGAGGCCUGCGAGCUGUGUGGCUUCACGCCUGAGCCUGGGCCUGGGGGCUCCCCUCUGCCCAUCAUCAAUGGGGUCUUGCCCAAGCCCACCAUCCUGGUUGAGCCCAAGGGCUCCUGCAAGGAGGAGAUGCCCAAGGUAGAAAGCUCCAGUGAGGACUCUGGGGGGAAGAGCCCCGAGGGGACGGGGCUGGAGGAUGGCUGGGCGUGCCAGCGCUGCACCUUGCACAACACUCCCAUGGCCAACUCCUGCUCGGCCUGCGGCGGGCCCCGCAAGCUCUCGCUGCCCAAGAUCCCCCCAGAGGCUCUGGUCGUCCCUGAGGUGAUUGCUCCGGCCGGCUUCCACAUAGCACCUUCCACGCCUCAGCCUGGCUCGGCAGCGGAGACUGCCGAGAGCCACCCCGCCGUCAACCCAGCCACAGCCACCAUGGAGCAAGAGAGCCAGAAGACGCCAAGCUUUAGCCUCUUUUCCCCUGGCCUGCAAAACAACCCUGUCCCCCGCAGCCGCCGCGAGGUGCCCCCCCAGAUGCAGCCAGUGGCGCUCGAGGCCUCCCAGCCCGCCUCCCCUCCGACACCCGUGCAGAAGGCCCUCCGCUUCCAGGAGCUGAUGGCCACCAAGCGGCUGAGUGUGCUGGAGGAGGAGAUGGAGGUGAGCCCCUCACCCUGGAAAUGCAGCACCUGUUCUCUCCUCAACACCUCAGCGGGUGGCGCCUGCGAGGCCUGCAACACCCAGAAGGGCAGCGACACCAUUGAUUUGACAGGGGACUCCGUGCGGUUCACUCCCUGUGGACCCUCCAGCCCAGACUUCACCACCUGGUCGUGCUCCAAGUGCACACUGAAGAACCCCACCGCCUCCCAGAAGUGCAAGGCUUGUGGCUCAUCUAAGCUGCACGGCUUCCAGGAGCACGGCCUGCAGGGGGAGCCAGUUUCCAAAUGCCCCGAGUGUGCAGGCACGGACAAGGCUUUCUGCUCAGCGUGCAAUGCCAAAGCCCCCUCAGCACGAAAAGUGGCCCGCCUCUUCCCCUCGCAGCCCCCAGGCACUCUGGAAAGGCCCACCCAGUGGCCUUGCCCAGCUUGCACCCUGCUGAAUGAGCUCAAAGCAAAGCACUGCGUGGCCUGCCACACCCCUCAGGGGUACAUGGCCCAGCGCAAGGGUGCCAAGCCGCUCAAGCGGCGCGAGAGCAUGCAUGCAGAGAAGCGGCGGCAAACGGACGAGGGGGAGGCCAAAGCCCUCUGGGAAAACAUCGUCUCCUUCUGCCAAGAGAACAAGGUCAACUUUGUGGAUGACAGUUUUCCUCCAGGGUCCAAGUCAGUGGGCUUCCCUGAGGGGGACAGUGUCCAGCAGCGAGUGAAGCAGUGGCUGAGGCCUCACGAGAUCAACUGCAGCAUCUUCAAGGACCGUUCGGUCAAGUGGUCUGUUUUCCGGACACCUCGGCCCUCGGACAUCCUACAGGGGCUCCUGGGAAAUUGCUGGUUCCUGAGUGCCCUGGCUGUGCUGGCAGAGAGGCCUGAGUUGGUGGAACGGGUCAUGAUAACACGGACCAUGUGCCCUGAGGGGGCCUACCAGGUCCGACUUUGCAAAGAUGGCACCUGGACCACUGUGCUGGUGGAUGACAUGCUGCCCUGUGAUGAGUGUGGCUACCUCCUCUUCUCUCAGGCCCAGAGGAAGCAGCUGUGGGUAGCCCUGAUCGAGAAGGCCCUGGCCAAACUCCAUGGUUCGUACUUUGCCCUCCAGGCAGGGCGCGCUAUUGAAGGCCUGGCUACGCUCACCGGCGCCCCCUGCGAGAGCCUGAUGCUUCAGGUCAGCUCCACUAACCCUCGCGAGGAGCCCAUUGACACUGACCUCAUCUGGGCCAAAAUGCUGAGUUCUAAGGAGGCUGGCUUUCUGAUGGGAGCAUCCUGUGGAGGGGGCAAUAUGAAGGUGGAUGAUGCAGCCUAUGAGAGCAUGGGUCUUCGUCCACGACAUGCAUACUCCAUAUUGGAUGUACGAGAUGUGCAAGGAUGCAGGCUACUGCGACUCCGUAACCCCUGGGGACGGUUCUCCUGGAAUGGCAGCUGGUCUGAUGAAUGGCCCCAUUGGCCUGCACACUUGAGGCAUGAGCUGAUGCCCCAUGGGAGCAGCGAGGGAGUCUUCUGGAUGGAAUACAGUGACUUCAUCAGGUAUUUCGACUCAGUGGAUAUCUGCAAGCUCCAUUCGGACUGGCAUGAAGUUCGCGUGCAGGGAGUCUUUCCAAACAAGGCCAGUGGCCCCGUAACAGUGACCUCGUUGACGGUGCUGGAACGUGCGACCUUGGAGUUCGCCCUCUUCCAGGAAGGAAGUAGGCGCUCAGACACAGUGGACAGCCACUUGCUGGACCUCUGCAUCAUGGUGUUCAGAGCCGCCUUCAUCAAUGGCAGCAAGCUGAGCCUGGGCCGCCUGGUGGCACACAGCAGGCGGGCCGUCAAGAAGUUCGUCAACUGCGACGUCAUGCUGGAGCCGGGCGAGUACGCCGUCGUGUGCUGCGCCUUCAACCAUUGGAGCACCGUGGGGACGGGCAGCUCCUCAGGCCACGGUGAUGGCAGUGCGGCAGCGGGCCCGGCCUGCAGCUCCGACAGGAAGCUUGCCUUGCCCAGUCCCACUACUGGCAGUGGGUGCUCAGCUGCUGAGGCCUCCAGCUACAUCCUGGCCAUCUACAGUUCCCGCUUGGUGAUGGUGGAGCAGAUCGAGGCCCAGUCAACCACGCUGGCUGAUGCCAUCAUCCUCCUCACAGAGAACAAAGGCGAGCGGCACGAGGGGCGCGAGGGGAUGACUUGCUACUAUCUGACACAUGGCUGGGCAGGUCUCAUUGUUGUGGUGGAGAACCGGCACCCCAAAUCCUACCUGCACGUCCAGUGUGAUUGCACAGACAGCUUCAAUGUGGUGUCAACACGGGGCAGCUUGAAAACGCAGGACAGUGUGCCACCGCUGCACAGGCAGGUGCUGGUGAUCUUGUCCCAGCUGGAAGGCAACGCUGGAUUCUCCAUCACGCACCGCCUGGCCCACCGCAAAGCUGCCCAGGCCUUUCUGAAUGACUGGAUGUCUACCAAGGGGACACACAACCCACUGCUGACUCCGGAGGUGGCGGGACUGCAUGGGCCCCGGCCGCUAUGACAAAUGGCCCCAUCUGCCCCACCGCUCCUCUGCUUCUGCCUUUUUUCUGGCCCCACCUGUCUCAGGCGAUGCCCGAGCCGCCAUCACUGAGCCGCCAGUUUGAAGAGGAGGAGGAGGAGGAGGGACGGACUGUGUCCCACGCCAAGCGCCUUUCCUCCCACCCCCUGGGGCCAGGCAGGGAGCUGCUCAGGUUCCCCCUUCCUUGCGGUCCCCCCACCCCCACAGAUGAUGCACUUUAUCCAGAGCUGCCGUCAGAAUAGGAGAGCAAGGGAAUCUCACAGCCGGGAGGAGGAAGCGAUCUGGGCUCUGGUGUGGGAGAGGCACGCAUGCGUCCAGGCGCUGAGUCCUGGGACGUGGCCCUUCCGACAGCUGCCAGGAACCCUAAGGCUGCAACAAUAUACCUCUGGUCAAUGUGUCUGUCUGUGUGUCCGCCUCACCACACCGUUCGUUGUCAGCUGGGGACCAUGGGGUGCAGUUUGGGACGGGGGCCAUGUGGACACCCCUCCUUUCCUCUUGUGGAACAACCCCUGGCAGGCAGAGGGGUGCUGGAUUUCGUCUCCCUCUGAGCGCUGGGGUGUCUGGGCGAUCAAGGUUUGUUGUGUGCGUGUGUGUGUGGUGGGGGCCUUGGUGUAGCUGCAGUUUGCAGUCAGCCACUCGCCUAGGGUGAGCGGCAGUUCUUGCUGAGCAAGUAACGGGCCAGGCUGAACAUGGGCUUCAUGCCGCACUCAUGGUGGGAGUGCCAGCUGGGGUGGGGAGGAAGCUGUGUGAGCUGGUAAUUUAUUGUUAUUAUUGUCCUUUUCUGCAAGGCUGGCCUAAGUGAACCCACUGCUGUAACGAGGUGGGCUUGGGGAUAUGAUCCCUUGCCUGCUUUCGGCCUCUGUUCCUACACCCUGUCUCUCAAGAGGGCUGCUAGCCCAGUGUGUCUGGAGGAACCAAGUGGAGGAGCAAAGGCCAGCGAAGGGCAGGCCACCAGCCAUUUUCCUUUUCCCAGCUGCAUCUGCCCGGAGUCAGAAAGAAAGAGACGUCUGUCCCAGGGCUCAAGCUGAUCAUUUUUGCAUUUUUGCUCUACGCAGAGCAGCUUUCCUCUAUGUCUUUUGUUGGGAAUAUUUGGUGGGUUGGCGUGGGGUUUGGAGACAGAUGGCUGGGACUGCAAGAAAGAAACUGGGGUAUGUGAGGAAGUAGCUCCCCUUUGUCAAGGUCGCAUCACACCUGUGAGGCUUUGCCAUGUAGCACAAGGCCUGGAUCAGAGAGAAACAUCAUGAAGUGGACAAGAGCCCCCCACCCCUUCUGUGUUUUGGGAUGAGGGAGGGUCCCACCCACUUCCUCAGUUUCUUUCCAGCUGUGCUAGUUGCUCCAUCGCCUGAUCAGACAAGCUUCUGCAUCAGUAUUUUUGACUCACUUUUUCCCACCUGAUCUUCCUUCAAUCUUCCCUUUCUGCCCAUUUUAAAAAAAAAACAGUAAAAAUGUUAGUUUCUUACUAAAGCUUGCUUUCUCCCACCUUACUUCUACUCACUCGCAGAUCACUACACACGACCAAGGGGAAUUUGACUUCCACCUUCGCUUCCACCCCUCUAUUUUGCUGCAUACUCUGAAGCCUCUCGCUGAAUGGCCAACCCUGCCUUUCAUAGCUGCGCCUCAUGCACCGCACACCUCCUGGUUGCAGAUGGCCACUUCCCGGUGCCGCCUCUGCCUCGGAAAAGGGCACACUGUGGAAUCCUACCCACAUUGCCAGGCGUUUAAGAAACAGGCAUGCCUAAAAUUUCGCCGAUGGCAGAGAGCCCUCCAAGUGGCUGAUUCUCUGCGGAGGCAGAGGGCCCAGCCGCCUCACCAGCGCAGGAGGCCGCACCGCCUGGCAAAUGCUCCAGGAAGCCAAAGGCCACAGGAAAGCUGGAAGGGACCGAGGAGCCUCCCAGGAAGAAGCAUGGCCUUCGCUGUGCCCACCGUCACCUCACCCCGGGCAGAUCGCCGCUGUCGGCAGACCCUGCGGCUCCACGGAGCGGCCCCCUUGCUGCGCUGAAGAGCAACUUGCGGGACCACGCUCUCCACAACAGGUUCAAGGCGCUCCUGCCACCGUCCCCGGCCAUCCCCCGUUUGCCUCUCUGUGCGGCUCCCCGCCCAGCCUCCUCAUGCCAGCCUCAGCUGGGGGACUUAUCCCCAGGGGACAUUGAGCGUUGCUCUGCUCCCCCCUCAUUCCACUGGGAUCGUGACACUCCCUGGUCCCCUCCUCGACCUACCCUGGGGACUCCUUGGAACUGCCGGAUGUCCUCCCUGUGCCGCCCAUGCCAGGCCACCGGAGAGUCUGGAGAGAGAUCCGUUUGGGCCCUGGCACCACCCAGUCAUGUGCUCGUGCCCACCACUGUCUCACCAACCUCCACCAUGACCAUACUGGCCCUAUCUGGGGGCAGCCCAAGGCACUGUCACCAUUGUUCUCAGGCCAAGCCCAAUGACUUGCAGCGCUGUGUGCAUGCGUACCCAACGCCAAGAGCAUGUGGACACCUCUCUGGCCUUCCUCGACGCCGGCCCAAGAUUGGGCCGACACCACAAGGCAUCCCACACUGACUCAGGCCACACACACGCAGAGAGAUGCCAGGCCAGCUCCAGCAUCAACACUGGCCCGGUCUACCACUCCAGAAGACCUCGAUGCCAACAUUGCCCCAGUCUAGCACUCUGGAGACCAUGCAGGCUCCGGGCACCCCUAUCAGCAACCCACCAAGCUGACCAGCUCCAGUCCUGUCCUGGGUGGCUAUGGGGCCUGCCAGCCCACCCAUCGCUUCUGCAGCCCACAUCCAGCCAGCGUCGCUCUUCUCGCCGAUCCCGAGACAAAAGUCAUCGCCAUCCAGCCACCACAGAUCUUCCUCCUCAGGUUCAGGCCUUGCGCUAUGCAACAAAGCCCCGCCUGUGUGAAUGCACAGAUGACCACUCAAAGAACAACAGUUACAGGUAAGCAGCCUGCCUUUCUUUUGAAAGGUCUGUGAAAGCCAUUUAUAGUGAUGAACCUUGCAGCCUCCUGGCUUCAAGGAGCUCCAGCCCUUCCCAUUUCUGUUCUGGCAGUCCAUGUCCCAGAUCAGCCUGCCUCAACUCAGGCCAUCCAGAUGUGUCUGCAGUUCCUGUGUCUGAGGGACCCCUCCCCCCAACUCAUCUGGAGCAUGCCAGACUGGUUCAGGCUGUCCUGGAGGGAGUGUAGCCAAGGGUCAGCAGUGGAGGUGGGGAAGAAGGCGUGUGCCCUUUGCUGACUUGACCUCCCCUUGUGCCUUCUGUGCUUACAGUUCAGUGCUAGUUUAAUAGUGAUCGGGCAGGGAUGCCUGACCACUAUUACCCACGGUUUGGUCAGUUUAGCACUUUGAUUCUCCCCCAUUCUGCGUUGGAGUUCGAUGCUCAGCCUCCCACGGGGGGAAUUUUUGAACCCACCGAUAAAGAUUCUUCCCCCACCCCCCAAAAAAGGAGAUAAGCCUUAUGCCAGGAAGGAGUUUCUGUCGUGCCCCCAGAGUUCUGCCGAAGCCUGUGCAGGAGAGCGGUUGGUCUUUGUUAGUCACCCUCGAAGUUGCUGAACUGACCACCAGCUUCAGACAAGGAUAAGCUGAAACCGUGGGGCAAGUGCCCGGAGGCCAGGGGUCUCCGCCCACAGCAGGGCUGAGCGUCACAGAUGCAUCUGUGGAGCUGGGACUUGAUUGCAGGGUAAUCAGGAACAGGGUUUCUAGUCCACUUGGUGGGCUCAGGCACAGCGUAGCAGGAGGGUAUCUUCCUGCCAAUGCCUUUGGUUCGGGCACAGGGUUGCAGGAGUGUCCUGGGAAGCAUGGCGGGGAGGCUCAGGACAAGCAGAGUCCUUGCACAUUGUCUUGGUCUCUACAACGUGUCCACGCCACGCGUCAGAAGACAGGCCUUGCCAUUUGCACAGGCAGCAGGUUGAAACGUUGAACUAAUCUGAACUUCACAAGGCCUGCCUCUGAUGAGCACCCGAGGGUGAGGGUGAAGGGCGGUCGAAGGCUGGGGCCUGUGCUUGGACGAAGGGUUCAGGAGACCCAUCGGAACGAACUGUGAGCCAGACCUGCUGCCAGCACCCGCUCCCCUUACACUAUUCCGCAGCAGGAGAAUGCUUUUGGUCUGGAUACCACAAUGACAUAUUUGCUGCACCGACCACCAAGUUGGGGGCAUCUGCCAGGGUGGAGGUGGGGAGUUCCUGGUAGCUUUGAGCAUAGGAAGCAUAUUGUGCCUCUGUGGGGUUCCACCCCCCCCCCCCAGCUGCUCACAGAUGCACCACUGUCAUCCGUAGGGUGUAACCAGUGCUAGGCCCAGAGGGGGCACAAGAAUACCUGGGUAGCCAUAGGAAUGUCCUGUGUGGCAUCUAGUUCCUUAUGUUUCUCUGGUUUGUAGAGGAUCCCAAUUGUGUAAUUGCAGUACCCUGUACUCUUCCCUCCCCUUAAGGGUGGGGAAGUGGGAGGGGUCUGCAGUAACCAUCAGCAAGAGGAACUAUUUUUCCUCCCUCCCUCAAGCCAAGUUUUUAUUCACCUUCCAAGAAGGGUUACCACCUCUUCCCCACUACCUGUCCUAGCAUCUCAUGGAAGUGCUUCUCUGCUGUCACUAGCACUAUGGCAGGCAGAAAUUCAGCAAGUGAAGCUUUCUGCAAGUGCAGAGAUGCAGCAGUGGGGAAACAUUUCGCUGGUUUCUGCCUGCCUCAGAGGGGCUGCUGAGAUGGGAGACCCCUGCUAGGAGAUGGUAGCCCUACUUCUGAGGAAGUCAUAAUAGCAUUUGCACUAAUUCCUUCCUGCAGGUGACUUCUGGGAAAUGUAGUUUGUUGGGUGCUUUUAUCAACAAUUGGCCCUUGUGGCACAAGGAUGAGGGGGGGGGGGGGCAGUCAGAUGCCAAAGGCGUGAGUGCAUCUAACGGAUGGGGUCAGGUGCUGCUUGCUGUCUGGAUCUGCAGAUUUCCACGGUCCACCGACUGUGCUGUGAGGGGAGCUGUUUGAUCCCGAGAGAUCAUGCUACAGCCAUGCCAUCGUCAGCCUCUGUCUGCAGGGCGUAUCUUCACUGCAGACUUCGACUGGUUCCAGAGUCCCUUCCUCUUUGUGAAGGAGCAGGGGCACGCUUCUCGUGGUUUACUGCUUUGUCCCUCUUCCCAGGGAAAUGUGGAGAGGGAAAGGGAGGAAAUCUCUAAGCAUUCUUAGCACAUCAUUUCAAAUUAAAAUCCCCAGGAUUCUUUGGAUGGAAGCCAUGACCAUUUAAGCUGGUAUAAAACUCAUGCAGGUGUCGUGCAGAUGUGCCCUUGUCAGGAGGUAGAAGGUGCCAGUGGGCUUUGCUACUGCAGGCCAUGGCCAAGCUAGCACUGGGAGCCCGAAGAAGGGCAGGGUUUCCUGAGCUGAGGGCUAACUUGGCAUUGCCAGGUCCUUCUGGGGAUGGGACAGCAGUGCCAACAUUGUAUCAUGUGAAUACAUCCCUGCCCUCUCCCAGUUCCAUUUCCUCUCCAUCCAAUCAGCUGUGGGCAGAAAGUUGAUUUUCUCCCCCUUCCUGUUUGCCCCAUCAGUCCCCCUUCCCUCCCCUCAAAUCAGUGUUCACUCUGUGAUUUCCUCCUUUCCUGAUCCUGCCAGCUGUUUCUUCCAAGGUAUUUGUUUUCACGCUAUCAAAAUGUCUCUCCUUUUGGAUGGUUUUUUACUUUUCUGUUCUUGUUCUUUCCCUCUCCCUCUCAGCAGUGAAUAAUUUUUAACCAUGUAAAUAUUGUCCAGCUCUCAAGAAAAUAUAGAAUAUUUUAUCAAUUGUAAAUGAAAUCUGUAAUCAGUCCCUGUAUAAUACGAAUUCUCCCUUGGGUGGUUUUCAAACUCAGGUUCUGAAGGACCAAAUAAUAAAAACAAAAAUUUGGUUUUUUAA